rnacentral:lncRNA from 1 species
AUAAUAUCGAGGAAAGCUCUCUCACACACACAAUAUUCAAAAUGCCUGGCUCUCGUACAAAUUUACAUAAGAUACAUAAAUUGCCGAAUCUAUCAACCAUUUAACUUGUUCCCAUCUUCUCUUCCUUUGUGAUUUAAUGAGGAGGGAGAACGGUAGCUUGCCCCCAUGAGGCAAGGUCUCCCAUGCAGACAAUAGCAUGGCGACCUAGGUUAGGCCUCAUGACUUCU